UACGGAGGGGGCUAGCGUUGUUCGGAAUUACUGGGCGUAAAGCGCGCGUAGGCGGACCUGCAAGUCGGGGGUGAAAGCCCGAGGCUCAACCUCGGAACUGCCUUCGAUACUGCGGGUCUCGAGUCCGGGAGAGGUGAGUGGAAUUCCUAGUGUAGAGGUGAAAUUCGUAGAUAUUAGGAAGAACACCAGUGGCGGAAGGCGGCUCACUGGCCCGGUACUGACGCUGAGGCGCGAAAGGCGUGGGGAGCAAACAGG
rnacentral:rRNA from 1 species